rnacentral:lncRNA from 1 species
AUGGCAUCUGGAAUCCUUUCCAGAAGAUUUUCAAUGGACAUUGCCCGGAUCCCUCAGAAGAAUCACUAUCUAUGGCAGCUCUGGCCUUAUACAAUGUAUUUCUUAAAAAAUAAGACUAGAAAGUUGAAGUUACUACUUGAUCCAUGGGCUGCACAAUAGGUGUUGUAUUAGCAGGCAUGUAAACAACAUUCAUCUUGUACAUCUCCAUCAGAGCUCAUGAGUGACUAAUUCUGAAAGGAAUUUUUUUUUUUCCUGAGCAGUAAGUAUCAACAAUGGGCUUGAAAUAUUCGGUAAACCAUGCUGUAAACAAAUGUGUUGUUAUCCAGGCUUUGUUGUUCCAUUUCUAUAGCAUAAGCUGAGUAGAUUUAACAUAAUUUUUAAAGGCCCUAAUAUUUUCGGAAUGGUAAAUGAGCAUUGGCAUCCACUUAAAGUCACCAGCUUGAUUAGUCCCUGAGAAUCAGCCCAUCCUUUGAGACUUUGAAGCUGGACAUUAACUUCUCCUCUCAGUAACAAAAGUCCUGCAUGGCAUCUUCUUCCAAUAUAGGGCUGUUUCAUCUACAUUAAGAAUCUGUUGUUAGUGUAGCCACCUUCAUGAAUGAUCUUUGCUAGAUUUUCUGAUAACUUGCUGCAGCUUCUACAUCAACAUUUGCUGCUUCACCUUCCACUAUGAUGUUACGGAGAUGGCUUCUUUCCGUAAACCUCAUGAACCAACCUCUACUAGCUUCCAACUUUUCUUUUCCAGCUUAUCUCUCUCAGCCAUCAUAGAAUUGAAGAGAGUUAGGGCUUUGCCGGGAAUUAGGAUUUGGCCUAAGGGGAUGUUGUGGCUUCUAUCAAGACUAUUAAAACUUUUUCCGUAUCAGCAAUAAGGUUGGUUCACUUUCUUUUCAUUUAUGUAGUCACUGGAGUAACACUUUUAAUUUCCCUCAAGUUUGUCCUUGCAUUCACAACAUGGCUAACACUGUCUGGCACAGAAGGCCUAGCAUUUGCCCUGUUUUAGCUUUUGACGUGUUUUCCUCACUAAGCUUAAUCAUUUCUAGCUUUUGAUUUAAAGUGAGAGAUACACAAGUGUUUCUUUU